rnacentral:sRNA from 1 species
UGCAUAAUCUACUUGGAAUAUUAUAUUU